GCGGGGUUGGUAUAGGGGAAUUACGCAACCUUCCCAAGGUUGAAAGGCGGGUUCGAGUCCCGUACCUCGCU
rnacentral:tRNA from 1 species